GAAAUUCCAAUCGAACCUGGAGAUAGCUGGUUCUCUCCGAAAUAGCUUUAGGGCUAGCCUCAAGGUAAGAGUAUUGGAGGUAGAGCACUGUUUGGACUAGGGGCCCUCAUCGGGUUACCGAAUUCAGACAAACUCCGAAUGCCAGAUACUCAUCCUUGGGAGUCAGACUGCGAGUGAUAAGAUCCGUAGUCGAGAGGGAAACAACCCAGACCGCCAGCUAAGGUCCCCAAGUAUACGUUAAGUGGAAAAGGAUGUGGAGUUGCUUAGACAACCAGGAUGUUGGCUUAGAAGCAGCCACCAUUCAAAGAGUGCGUAAUAGCUCACUGGUCGAGUGACUCUGCGCCGAAAAUGUACCGGGGCUAAACGUAUCACCGAAGCUGUGGAUUGUCUUUAGACAAUGGUAGGAGAGCGUUCCAAGGGCUGUGAAGUCAUUCCGUAAGGAAUGGUGGAGCGCUUGGAAGUGAGAAUGCCGGUAUGAGUAGCGAAAGAAGGGUGAGAAUCCCUUCCACCGAAUGCCUAAGGUUUCCUGAGGAAGGCUCGUCCGCUCAGGGUUAGUCGGGACCUAAGCCGAGGCCGAAAGGCGUAGGCGAUGGACAACAGGUUGAUAUUCCUGUACCGCCUCGUUUCCAUUUGAGUGAAGGGGGGACGCAGUAGGAUAGGGUAAGCGCGCUGUUGGAUUAGCGCGU
rnacentral:rRNA from 1 species